rnacentral:rRNA from 1 species
ACGCUCGACACCUACUGGAGGCAGCAGUGGGGAAUAUUGCACAAUGGGGGAAACCCUGAUGCAGCGACGCCGCGUGAGUGAAGAAGUAUUUCGGUAUGUAAAGCUCUAUCAGCAGGGAAGAAGAUGACGGUACCUGAGUAAGAAGCCCCGGCUAACUACGUGCCUGCAGCCGCGGUAAUCUGAGCGGGCUGGCAAGGC